rnacentral:rRNA from 1 species
UUAAGUGACUAAGCGUACACGGUGGAUGCCUUGGCAGUCAGAGGCGAUGAAAGACGUAGUAACUUGCGAUAAGCCCAGAUUAGGUAGUAACAACCAUUUGAGUCUGGGAUUUCUGAAUGGGGAAACCCACUUACAUAAGUAAGUAUCAUUAACUGAAUACAUAGGUUAAUGAGGCGAACCGGGGGAACUGAAACAUCUAAGUACCCCGAGGAAAAGAAAUCAACCGAGAUUCCGAAAGUAGCGGCGAGCGAAAUUGGACUAGCCCUUAAGCUUUACACGCGUUAGACGAACGGUCUGGAAAGUCCGACGAUACAGGGUGAUAGUCCCGUAGUUGACGACGUGUGUUCAGUGAAAUCGAGUAGGGCGGGACACGUGAUAUCCUGUCUGAAUAUGGGGGGACCAUCCUCCAAGGCUAAAUACUACUGACUGACCGAUAGUGAACCAGUACCGUGAGGGAAAGGCGAAAAGAACCCCUGUGAGGGGAGUGAAAUAGAACCUGAAACCGUGUACGUACAAGCAGUAGGAGCAGGCUUGUCCUGUGACUGCGUACCUUUUGUAUAAUGGGUCAGCGACUUAUAUUCAGUGGCAAGGUUAACCAUCUAGGGGAGCCGUAGGGAAACCGAGUCUUAACUGGGCGUUCAGUCUCUGGAUAUAGACCCGAAACCAGGUGAUCUAGCCAUGGGCAGGUUGAAGGUUGAGUAACAUCAACUGGAGGACCGAACCGACUAAUGUUGAAAAAUUAGCGGAUGACUUGUGGCUAGGGGUGAAAGGCCAAUCAAACCUGGAGAUAGCUGGUUCUCCCCGAAAGCUAUUUAGGUAGCGCCUCGGACGAAUACUACUGGGGGUAGAGCACUGUUAAGGCUAGGGGGUCAUCCCGACUUACCAACCCUUUGCAAACUCCGAAUACCAGUAAGUACUAUCCGGGAGACACACGGCGGGUGCUAACGUCCGUCGUGGAGAGGGAAACAACCCAGACCGCCAGCUAAGGUCCCAAAUUACUACUAAGUGGGAAACGAUGUGGGAAGGCUCAGACAGCCAGGAUGUUGGCUUAGAAGCAGCCAUCAUUUAAAGAAAGCGUAAUAGCUCACUGGUCGAGUCGGCCUGCGCGGAAGAUGUAACGGGGCUAAGUAGUAAACCGAAGCUGCGGCAAUAUACUUUUGUAUAUUGGGUAGGGGAGCGUUCUGUAAGCGGUUGAAGGUGUGUGGUAACGCAUGCUGGACGUAUCAGAAGUGCGAAUGCUGACAUGAGUAACGAUAAAGGGGGUGAAAAACCUCCUCGCCGGAAGACCAAGGGUUCCUGUCCAACGUUAAUCGGGGCAGGGUAAGUCGACCCCUAAGGCGAGGCCGAAAGGCGUAGUCGAUGGGAAACGGGUUAAUAUUCCCGUACUUCUUACAAUUGCGAUGGGGGGACGGAGAAGGCUAGGUGGGCCUGGCGACGGUUGUCCAGGUUCAAGUGCGUAGGCUUAAGAGUUAGGUAAAUCCGGCUCUUUUUAAGGCUGAGACACGACGUCGAGCACCUACGGGUGUGAAGUCAUUGAUGCCAUGCUUCCAGGAAAAGCCUCUAAGCUUCAGAUUGUAAGGAAUCGUACCCCAAACCGACACAGGUGGUCGGGUAGAGAAUACCAAGGCGCUUGAGAGAACUCGGGUGAAGGAACUAGGCAAAAUGGUACCGUAACUUCGGGAGAAGGUACGCUCUUGAUGGUGAAGUCCCUUGCGGAUGGAGCUGACGAGAGUCGCAGAUACCAGGUGGCUGCAACUGUUUAUUAAAAACACAGCACUGUGCAAAAUCGUAAGAUGACGUAUACGGUGUGACGCCUGCCCGGUGCCGGAAGGUUAAUUGAUGGGGUUAGACUUCGGUCGAAGCUCUUGAUCGAAGCCCCGGUAAACGGCGGCCGUAACUAUAACGGUCCUAAGGUAGCGAAAUUCCUUGUCGGGUAAGUUCCGACCUGCACGAAUGGCGUAAUGAUGGCCACGCUGUCUCCACCCGAGACUCAGUGAAAUUGAAAUCGCUGUGAAGAUGCAGUGUACCCGCGGCUAGACGGAAAGACCCCGUGAACCUUUACUACAGCUUGGCACUGAACAUUGACCCUACAUGUGUAGGAUAGGUGGGAGGCUUUGAAGCACGUACGCCAGUAUGUGUGGAGCCGUCCUUGAAAUACCACCCUUGUAGUGUUGAUGUUCUAACGUCGACCCCUUAUCGGGGUUGCGGACAGUGCCUGGUGGGUAGUUUGACUGGGGCGGUCUCCUCCCAAAGAGUAACGGAGGAGCACGAAGGUGGGCUAAUCACGGUUGGACAUCGUGAGGUUAGUGCAAUGGCAUAAGCCCGCUUGACUGCGAGAAUGACAAUUCGAGCAGGUGCGAAAGCAGGUCAUAGUGAUCCGGUGGUUCUGAAUGGAAGGGCCAUCGCUCAACGGAUAAAAGGUACUCCGGGGAUAACAGGCUGAUACCGCCCAAGAGUUCAUAUCGACGGCGGUGUUUGGCACCUCGAUGUCGGCUCAUCACAUCCUGGGGCUGAAGUCGGUCCCAAGGGUAUGGCUGUUCGCCAUUUAAAGUGGUACGCGAGCUGGGUUUAGAACGUCGUGAGACAGUUCGGUCCCUAUCUGCCGUGGGCGUUGGAAGAUUGAAGGGGGCUGCUCCUAGUACGAGAGGACCGGAGUGGACGAACCUCUGGUGUUCGGGUUGUGUCGCCAGACGCAUUGCCCGGUAGCUAAGUUCGGAAUCGAUAACCGCUGAAAGCAUCUAAGCGGGAAGCGAGCCCUGAGAUGAGUCUUCCCUGAUACUUUAAGUAUCCUAAAGGGUUGUCGGAGACUACGACGUUGAUAGGUCAGGUGUGUAAGUGCUGUGAGGCAUUGAGCUAACUGAUACUAAUUGCCCGUGAGGCUUAACCAU